UUUUUUUUUAAAUUAGCAAUUUUUUAAUUUUGAUAAUUUGUGUGAUAUAGAUAAAAAUGUGAGAGGCAAGUUUAAAAGGAUCCAAUUU
rnacentral:ribozyme from 1 species